UCGCGGAAUUUUGGAGUCGCUAGUAGAUACUAUAGAAAACAGUUUAUUAAAGUCAGAAUAAAGUACUCUGGAAGGCUCAUACAAGUUAUAACUAGAUUUACGAUCAUUUAAAACUAAAGGAACAUAUUUUUUAGUUAAUCCACUUGGAACCGAGAAAUUUAGUCUACCCUACAAGUAAGGACUGUCAAUUAUACCACGUAUAAGGUUUUAAAGAAAUACAUCAAGCAUCGUUCUAGGAUUAGUAAGGGAGGGCAAGUUAAUGAGGAGCUAUCUUUGAAUAUGAGGGCGGAAAUAGGUUUGCAUUCCAGUUUAGGCGGUGUAGGGCAAAAGUAAAAAGUUUUUUUGCACUGAUGCUAUACGAUGCUAUACUCUGAUGCUAUACUCUAAACAAAAUAAUGAACAAUACCCUUCAUAAAUAAAUCACAAGUUAAUACAAAACUACAAUUUAUGAUUUUGCUAAUUAGGUUACAAAGCUGAUUAAUAAUAGGCUAUACAUUUACACCUCACAAAAAAUAAAAUCAAUCUGUUCUAAUAUUUAAUAGGCUUUUUGUUUAAUUUGCCAUGGCAAUAUUUAAUGAAUUUCACUUAAAUGAAAUCUUUUAACCUUCAUUUCCCUCUGGCAGCUUAUUGUCUGAUUGAAAUUUAGGGAAGCCAAUGAUGAAAACCAGUAGUGUAUGAGGGUCGUGUCAAGAUAAUAUUCAGCAAUGACCUUUACCACACGAUAAUACCACCUUGCAAGGGUCGAGUCUAAAUUGCAUUCAGUAAUGACCUUUACCACAUGACAAAAUCGCCAAUCGAUUGAUCGCGUUAAGCUUUUUUUGGCGUUAUGGGAUUUUGCAGGACGCUCGUACACGUCCACUCUCUCUUUUUCUUCUGAUCGCCGAUCCAAACGGACAUCUCUCGCAGUGAUUAAACUUUAAAUUUUAAAAAGUGAAUAUUAAAUAUUGGAAUUAUUUGUACUGCAACAAGAGAGACCCGAUUAACCCCAACUGGGAAAACCUUCAGCCGAUCCCACGAUCUGUGACGUGUUGAAAAGUGAAGUCAAGGAAUUUGGGAAUUCCCGGAAUUUUGCGAAUUCUAGGAAUCGGUGAAUUCGAGGAAGCGGCUUCUGUCAACGGGCGGAAUUCCAAGAACGCCGGAGACUCCGAAUUUGAGGAGGGACUUCUCCAGACGCCUGGCGCGUCACAUCGUCGCCAUACUUAGGCGAUCGCAUACAAGCACAACGCUGCACGAGGGCGUAAGCACGCACAUCGCCGCGCGAAGACGAAGGCGCCAUCUUGGAUCCGCGCUCGUGCAAAAGCGCACACACACAUCGUCGCGCGAAGGCGAAGGCGCCAUCUUGGAUCCGCGCUCGUGCAAAAGCGCACACACACAUCGCCGUGCAGGCCUAUCACACGCACGUAGCUGCAAACGCGUGAGCACACACACACAUCGUGAUCACGAACGUACAUCCGCGCACCCAAAGCGCCAUCUUGCCUCUGCGCACACAAGCGCAAACGCCUUCGGCUCUCACGGACGCCGCAUACAGGCAAACGUCGACGACGAUCGACACGAUCGUCGGGCCCGCCUGGAUCUCUACUUUUUGUAUCGUAUACAUAAAUUUGAUUUUGCUACUUUAAACUCGUAAAACAUGUACUUAUAAACCUCUUCGACCCCGUUAUAGUUUUAUGGUGCAGCAGUAGAGGAUUAUAUAUUCGCCUUUUUCUUUCAUAAAACAGCAACCACAACAACACCGUCAACAGGCCUGCUGACUUCGUUGGAAUUGUCGUGAGUACGGCAUAGCCGUGUAAUCUCUUGUAUUUUCGUAUAUUUUUUGGCCAUAUAUAUAUAUAUAUUUCCUAUUGCUUGCAACCCUUGAAUAAAUAUAUGAAGUAAAUGUGAGAAAUCCUUUAAAGUUAGGAACCCAUCUGAUUUUGAUACCUUUUCUUUUCGAAUUUAUAAACACAUACACAUAUCGAUAGGUGAUAAGCUUUUCUUAAAUACUGUUAAUUAGAUUUAAGGUUAGGUUAAAAUUUCAACAUGUAUAUUAUCGCUUUUCUUUCGUUUUCUUUAUAAUUAUAUUAUAUUCAACAUGAUUUAACUUAGUAUUCUUGGAGGGCAAAGUUUUGGAAAUGUAGCAUAGCAGUUGAUAAAGGGGUGGAAUCUUCUCAGAUUCCACUGGUAGGGUGGGUAUAGAGGAGGCCAUCACCAUCUGGUCCUCCAACAUCGAUGGAUACCUUUAUUUUUCGUCCGAUUCAUAGCCGUUUGGUGUAUGAUCAGUUUUGGCCUUUUGUUUAUCUCUGUCUACUAUUUAAUUCUGUAGCACCCCUGUUCUCUCUUAACACAAACCCACGCCACCUACCCUGAGCAGGCCGGACAAAAUGUAGACAGAGCGUGUUGGGAGUGAGCAGCACUUGUGUGUGUGUUCGUUACAAGUGGCAUCAAUGCAAAAUAGGUCUUCAUUUUCAACAGUAUAGAUGUAGAUUCCUUUUGUAAAAGACCCAUCUGGACUCGCUUAUAUAGGUAUAGAUGCUAACCGUUUAUAACGCAAAUUAUAUGUAAAUGCUACCCGUAUAUAAUUCCAAAUAAACGUAUUUAAUUUAUUAUUGAUUUAGUUCCGGUGAUUUAUUAAUUUCUUGUUUUUUUAUUUGCCAGCAUAGUUCCGCGGACCACCACCCACCCAACCGCCCGAGGGGCACAGCCGUGUAUCUUACAGCAUCCUAGCCCAUGCCAGCCAUUUAGUUUAAUUGAUGUUGAAAACAGCAAGUUCAGGAACUCCUAUGAUGGAAACCAGCAGACACACCAAUGCAAAAUAGAUCUUCAUUUUCGACAGUAUAGAUGUAGAUUCCUUUUGAAAAAGACCCAGGUGCACUCGCUAUAUAUAGAUGCUAACCGUUUAUAAUGCAAAUUAUAUUUAAAUGCUAGCCGUAUAUAAUUCCAAAUAAACGUAUUUAAUUUAUUAUUGAU